rnacentral:rRNA from 1 species
CCAGACUCCUACGGGAGGCAGCAGUGAGGAAUAUUGGUCAAUGGGCGGAAGCCUGAACCAGCCAAGUCGCGUGAGGGACUAGGGCCCUGCGGGUCGUAAACCUCUUUUGCCGGGGAGCAGUGGUCCGGACGCGUCCGGACCGGGAGAGUACCCGGAGAAAAAGCAUCGGCUAACUCCGUGCCAGCAGCCGCGGUAAUACGGAGGAUGCGAGCGUUAUCCGGAUUUAUUGGGUUUAAAGGGUGCGUAGGCGGAAUGCCAAGUCAGCGGUAAAAUCGCGGGGCUCAACCUCGCUCCGCCGUUGAAACUGGCGUCCUUGAGUGGGCGAGAAGUAUGCGGAAUGCGUGGUGUAGCGGUGAAAUGCAUAGAUAUCACGCAGAACUCCGAUUGCGAAGGCAGCAUACCGGCGCCCAACUGACGCUGAAGCACGAAAGCGUGGGUAUCGAACAGGAUUAGAUACCCCCGUAGAU